rnacentral:rasiRNA from 1 species
UAGACCGUAAAUGAAAAGCUGAGA